rnacentral:rRNA from 1 species
UACGGGGGGGGCAAGCGUUGUUCGGAAUUACUGGGCGUAAAGGGCGCGUAGGCGGUUGGAUAAGUCAGCUGUGAAAACCACGGGCUUAACUCGUGGCCUGCAGUUGAGACUGUCUGGCUUGAGUGUGGGAGAGGAGAGUGGAAUUCCUGGUGUAGCGGUGAAAUGCGUAGAUAUCAGGAGGAACACCGGUGGCGAAGGCGGCUCUCUGGACCACAACUGACGCUGAGGCGCGAAAGCUAGGGGAGCGAACGGG